GCCAGGGUGAUGUAGUGGUUUGAGUGCUGGACUAUGACUCUGGAGAAAAGGGUUCGAUUCCCAGCUUGGCCA